GCCACCGUAGCUCAACUGGUGAGAGCGCCGGAGUACAAAUCUGGAGGUCGUGGGUUCGAGUCCCGUCGGUCGCC
rnacentral:tRNA from 1 species